UGAGCGUGGUGGCUGAGAUGCCCGCCAGCGGGCCCAGGCAGGGCAGGGAGCCCGCCGCCAGCGAAGGGUCCGGAAUCUGUCCCGGCAUCAUGUCCCGCCCGGCAGCCGCCGCCGCUGCUGUUGGGAGGAGAGCAAAAGCCUUAACUUGCCGCAUCGCCGCGGCGGCGGCGAGCGCGUUGCCAGUUGUGUUCCCGAACGGCCCCCUCCUCGGCUUCCGUGCGCCGCCGGCCGGACAGGUUGGACGAGAGCCCGACAAAGCCCCUCUCAGACGCGGCAAACAAAGAGCGCUAUUGUGGCGCGCUCUCAAACAGCUGACUGUGCUGCAGUCCGACGAGCCGACAGCCAACGAUGGAUGAAGUGGAAAUCCGAGGAGCGCUCGGCCGCCUGUCCCGAAACCCUCGCACCGCCGUGGGACGGGACCUAAACCAAAAGGUGUCGUUCCCCGAAAGGCGCCCGCCCGCCUCCUCACGUGAGCGUGCAGCUCAGUCAGUGUUAUUUGCUUCACGUCUGCUGGGCGAUGUCCUUUCUGCACAACCGUGCCACCUCUCUGGGAAAUACCCGUGGCCCACGCCAGACAGCGUCCAGUCCAGUCCCGUCCCGUCCUGACUCAUUCGUCCUCCUUGACCGCACUGCAGACACAAU